rnacentral:rRNA from 1 species
UACGUAGGGUGCGAGCGUUGUCCGGAAUUAUUGGGCGUAAAGAGCUCGUAGGCGGUGUGUCGCGUCGGCCGUGAAAACCUGGGGCUUAACUCUGGGCGUGCGGUCGAUACGGGCAUCACUAGAGUUCGGCAGGGGAGACUGGAAUUCCUGGUGUAGCGGUGAAAUGCGCAGAUAUCAGGAGGAACACCGGUGGCGAAGGCGGGGUCUCUGGGCCGAUACUGACGCUGAGGAGCGAAAGCAUGGGUAGCGAACAGG